rnacentral:rRNA from 1 species
GAUGAACGCUGGCGGCGUGCCUAAUACAUGCAAGUCGAGCGAACAGACCAGGAGCUUUCUCCUCUGACUUUAUCGCCGGACGGGUGAGUAACACGUGGUUAACCUACCUAUACGACUGGGAUAACUUCGGGAAACCGGAGCUACUACCGGAUAAUAUAUUGAACCUCAUUGUUCAAUAGUUAAAUACGGUUUUUCUGUCACUUAUACAUUGAUCCGCGCCGCAUUAGCUAGUUGGUAAGGUAACGGCUUACCAAGGCUACGAUGCGUAGCCGACCUGACAGGGAGAAUGGCCACACGGGAACUGAGACACGGCCCAGACUCCUACGGGAAGCAGCAGUAGGGAAUCUUACGCAAGGGGGGAGAGCCUGACGGAGCAACGCCGCGUGAGGGAUGAACGACUUCGGAUCGGAAAACGAUGUUAUUAGGGAAGAACAAAUGUGUAAGUACCUAUGAACAUAUUGACAGUACCUGAACAGAAAGCCACGGCUAACUCCGUG